rnacentral:misc_RNA from 1 species
UCUCCGUAGGUGAACCUGCGGAAGGAUCAUUAUUGAAACUUGAAUCGUAGCAUUGAGAACUGUUGCUGACCUGUUAAAGGGUAUGUGCACGUUCGACGUGUUGCGUUCUAUUCAUCCACCUGUGCACCUUUGUAGACUUGAUUAACCUUCGCUCUCGAGCGGUUAGAAGGGUUGCUUUCGAGCUCCCUUUGUCUAUCAAGUCUAUGUCUAUAUAAUCUCUUGUAUGUCUAGAAUGCCUUGUUUAUGGGACGCAAGUCCUUUAAAUCUUAUACAACUUUCAACAACGGAUCUCUUGGCUCUC